rnacentral:piRNA from 1 species
UUAGAAGUGCUCACUCUUGUACGAGUGU